UACGUAGGGUGCAAGCGUUAUCCGGAAUUAUUGGGCGUAAAGAGCUCGUAGGCGGUUUGUCGCGUCUGCUGUGAAAGACCGGGGCUCAACUCCGGUUCUGCAGUGGGUACGGGCAGACUAGAGUGCAGUAGGGGAGACUGGAAUUCCUGGUGUAGCGGUGAAAUGCGCAGAUAUCAGGAGGAACACCGAUGGCGAAGGCAGGUCUCUGGGCUGUAACUGACGUGAGGAGCGAAAGCAUGGGGAGCGAACAGG
rnacentral:rRNA from 1 species